AGAGUUUGAUCAUGGCUCAGGAUAAACGCUGGCGGCGUGCUUCAGGCAUGCAAGUCGAACGAGUGGCCACCUUCGGGUGGUCUACUAGUGGCGGACGGGUGAGUAACGCGUUAGCAACCUGCCCAAAAGUGGGGAAUAACUAACCGAAAGGUUAGCUAAUACCGCAUGUGAUAGCUGGUUCUUGGACCGGUUAUGAAAGGCUUCGGCCGCUUUUGGAGGGGCUUGCGUCAGAUUAGCUAGUUGGUGGGGUAAUGGCCUACCAAGGCGACGAUCUGUAGCUGGUCUGUGAGGACGAUCAGCCACACGGGGACUGAGAUACGGCCCCGACUCCUACGGGAGGCAGCAGCUAGGAAUCUUGGGAAUGGGCGAAAGCCUGACCCAGCAACGCCGCGUGGGCGAUGAAGGCCUUCGGGUCGUAAAGCCCUUUUGCAGGGGACGAUGAUGACGGUACCCUGCGAAUAAGCCACGGCUAACUACGUGCCAGCCGCCGCGGUAAUAC
rnacentral:rRNA from 1 species